GGAAAGGCUACCCAACAGUUCUAGAGUGUACAAAAGCUCAGACACUAUCUGCAAAGGGUCAUCGACUAAUGAGGGUGAUGAGAUUCUAUACCCUGCAGAAUACCUCAAUUCUCUUAAGUUCAGCGGAGUUCCAAACCACGAACUUGAGUUAAAAGUUGGAGUUCCCAUAAUGCUUCUACGGAACCUUAAUCCGAAGAAAGGAUUGUGUAAUGGCACCCGACUUAUUGUGACUCAGUGCUGCCCAUUUGUCAUAGAGGGGAUGAUCAUAACUGGGAACAAAACUGGGGAGAAAACAUAUAUACCGAGAAUUUGUAUGUCACCUGCAGACAAAACAAUGCCAUUUGUCCUGAAGAGGAAGCAAUUCCCAAUUUCUGUGUGUUACGCAAUGACUAUCAACAAGAGUCAGGGCCAAACAGUAAAAAAUGUGGGGCUAUAUUUGCCAAAGCCAGUGUUCUGCCACGGACAACUGUACGUCGCCGUGUCAAGAGUGACUUCGCCAUCUGGUUUAAAAAUAGUCAGCGUCAACGAAGAAGACAUGUGUGAUGGCUAUACAAAGAAUGUUGUGUACCAGGAAAUCUUCAAUAACAUUGUCCCUACGGACUGACUCUGAUUGGGGCACUUAAAUUCAGCAUCCUCCAACUUUCCAGAGUAACAAACUACAAAUACAGAGUUUGUAAAUAGCUGCUCCUUAUGGUUCAUCUAAGGCGGAUCAACUACAAAAGCACCCAGCGGAAGAAAUCAACUACUUAAUAAUCUAAUCUUUAAAUUCAUUAGAUUAGAUUUGUUACAGUACAUGGGUAGAUGAUACUAUAUACUAUUGCUGCGUUCGUGCAUAAGAAUCAUCUCUGUGAUGUAGAUUUCCUAAUUCACUAUAUUAGAUUCAAUUUGAGCUGACAUCCCACUUAAUUAUAGUACAGAACCUAACCUAAAAUUUGUCGCUGAUUGCCCUUGAAUUCACACACACACACACACAUAAACCUUGCCAUAAUGCCAAACGACAAUUAAAGAGUGUCCCUCCGCAUAUCUGGAUUGUACAAAAGCGCGGUAUUACUUUACAGCACUUUGUCAAACUUAUAGACUAUGCAGAGUUAAAUCCGCAACUCUCUCAAACGUGUUUACUGUAACUUCAUGGUAAUGAAGUUGGGUAGUCAAGCUUCAUAACCGGGCCACUGCAAGAAGUUAUGCCCAAAUAAAAAACGGUUUGACAGAAGAAUAGUUUAGACUUCUAGAGGAAGUAGGUGUUCACCCACCUCUAAAGGACAUUGUUGUGGAGGACUCCAAGUAAGUUGAGCUACAUACCCGCAGCAUCGGGAGACAUGCUGCUUAUAAAUAACAAGUUACUUGCAUUAGCGAAAAUUAACUUCCAAUUUAUUGGUUUUGCCAAAUUUAUCAUUAUUUACAACUUAUUCAAUAUAAAACUUGUAAUAUAAAAAUUACAAAUUAACUUCUAAAAUGAUUACAUAUUUUUUAAUAAAGUCAAAUUUCAAAAUUUAAAAUAACUCAGAAACGAAGAGGGAAUUUUCAAUUUCUCAUCAUUUAACUUAUAAGUAAGCAGUUACUUUUAUUGCGAAGUUGCCAUUCGUUAUGAGAAGUUGUGAUGCACUGAGUCAUGAAACUCGCACAUUCUUCUAUACCAGAUCUAAAUCUUAUUGCUGAGGCAUACAACAAACUCCGGAAAAAGACAGGAAAAUCGGAAAGCCCAAUAACUGUUCAAUAAAACUAUGGCAUAUGAUUAUGGAUAUAUUAGGGGUCUAGAUUUCAUUUUUUAUUACUUUGUCCAACUCAUCAAAAUAGCCAGCAUCUACGGGUUACCAUGUCAUCACCAACUCAUAGACAGCCGAGAUACCGAUGGCAAAGGCUCUAGCGAACCACAGCUUUAAAGAAUGAACAAGAAGAAACCAGUGACUAAAUCGAAAAUAAGCAAUAUGAACAGUGAUAUUUGUGUAUUUUACAUUUUACAUUUUGAGCUAAAGUUCAAUAACACCUUCAGUUACUUCUUACUAUCUCUAAUUACAAGAAUUGAGCAUACUUUUCUUUGUUCUCAAUUUGCAGCUUUCGUGUUGUGUUAGCUAUAUCUUUGGCAGUGAAUUUAGGCGACUGAAGCUCGCUUCAUUUGUAAACUUAGGUAUGAACAUAAUCUCUGUAGAGUUUUCAUUGUGUGCAUGGUUAGUUUACUGUUAAUGCACAGCUUCUGCCACAGAAAAAUUAAUUGCAUGUGGUACUGCCCACAGACCAAAAAAAUUAUGGAGUACGCAUAGGUACAACCUAAAUAACGUCUCGAGCUUAUCUGGAUGCCCAGUCAAUUUCAUUACCUUUUAUAAUACAAUGUUUUUAUGUCAAGCCUACCUUGUGCAUAUCUCAUUGCUGCAGGGGAGGUAGAUACUUCCAUUUCAGGAGUUGUAAAAUAUGAUCGAAGGGUACCUAUGCUCAUUAAUAAUGAGAGUGUAGUGCAGCUUAGGGAUUCUUUCUCUAAUCCUAUUGUCUCGAACCAAUCAAAGCUUACACUGCUCUUGCUAAGAAUAUUCUUCCAUGCCUAUUUGGGGUGAGAGUUUACAGUUGUAAUCAUAAAAAUCACUGCAAUAUUGUUUUGUUACGAUUUUGAUCUCUUCAUCUAUGUUCUUGACAUCUGAAUAUGAUGUAUGUCACUUUUGGAUAUUAGUAUGUACCUACCUUUUCUAAAAAGUUGAUAUAUCCGUGGAUUUACUGCUUAACAUAAACCAUCUCAGCACUCACCCCCCUUCGAAUUGGUACAUAAAAUUGAGUCCUGUAUUAUGCUUGUAUAUCCAUAUUUUUAGAAUGAUAUUAUUUGUUGGAGGUCACUAUGCCACUGUAUAAAGUACUUACUCCAUAGUUUAUUUUUUAAAUUUUUGCACAGUCACAUAAACUUGCAAUAAUAUUAUUUUAAGGUUGCAAUGAUUUUCACUUUUCUCCUUUCACAAGUUUGAUAUUAUUUUAAACCUGUUCAGCUGACUACUUUCCUCUGGGAAGAUGAAUCAAUUGCUUUUAGCACUCUCGAAAAUGAUAGUGUUGAUGGUGAUAAUGCAAGUAUAGUUUGAUAUACAAAGGUAAUUUCCUGAUUCUAGGGGUGCGAAUAUAGUCUGUUAUUUUGUACCAUCCAAUCUGUUUCAACGGAUCACUUUACUUCAACAUCUCCUGCAAGGCACAUUUACCUUAUUAAAUACUAUUUCACUAAGUAAUGUUAUAGCUAUUCAUGACUUCUACAUUCUUCGGAGAAAGUCGUAAACUUUUGCCCCAGAAGCUUGCUCUAGGUAACAUAUUUUUUUUGGCAGCCAAGUCAUGGUUCAGAUCUGCAAUAUGGACAUCUAUUCCCACACUCUUCAUUUUGUGCAGCAUAUGUAAUACCCGUUCCCUAAUGCAUGAAACUGCUCUUUUCCCAGGCUUUAUGGCAGCUUUUGUGGUUUAAUCCUGCCCUGCCUGCAAGCUCAGAACAGUCUACUACCAAUACAAAUUCAUUAAGGAACACGCAUCAACGAGCCGUAGUGUGGUGAGGAGCGGCUGAGCCAUUAGUUUUGCCCUGACGUCACAAAGCUUCUGCUGGGUAAGGCUUGGUAAUGUUCUUUCUCUUUAUCCAGAUUUUUGCAACAAAUGCUCUCAGACAACAAUAUAUCCAUCAGACGACAACUUUUGCAAAAGCUCCUGAUAAGCUUCUGCCAGUUGACAUGUCUGCUGAAUUUCCUGGUUAUGCAUUCUGACUUGGGAACUUAUUGGAAGCAGCUGCUCUUGCUUCUGCUCCGCCCCACUGCUCUUUUGAUUUGGUUAAUAGAGUGGGUUCUGAGGUGAAUAAUCUUUCUUGCAUACUAUGUAUUUGACUUUCACAUAUUUAGAUUACAUUAAUGAUACUUGAUUUAACCUUCACCUAUUCAAGAGGUCAGACUAAUAUCUUUUAACUGGAUUUUUUUUUAACUGGUUCAAGCUCAUGUCUAAACUCCCUCUAUUUUACAAAGGCAAGUAUAUUUCAUUAAAAAUAUUUAAAAUAACUCUUGAUUUUGAUUUAGGGUUACAUAUAUUCCUCAGCAGAAAAAAUUAAUUACAAUAACACACUAUUACCUAGGCUUAGUUCCCCUCUAAAAAUUUAAAAAACUGAAUAUAAUUUGGGCUCACUAUACGGGGUUUUAACUAAUUAAAUACCAUUACAAUAUUCUCAGAAGGCAAUUGUAUUUUUUGAGGUUUUCUGGAAUAUUACUUAGCUCAACUUUUUGGGAUAAAUCUUAGUUCUGAUCUACUCUAUAGUUAAAAGUAACGGUUGUAAGGCAUUAACUACUAUUAACUAAUGUUUUAAAUUCGGCAUUAAACACCAAUACAUGUAUUAAAUGCAGCCUAUACAUAUUAUCAUAUCAAAUGAUUGGCACUUACAAGGCACAUAUCUUUCCAAACCGUUACAAAUACAGCAUCCCACAAUCUAGCUAGCAGAAAGGAUUAUUAUGGAAGAGGAAGGUCAGCUACACUAUGGAUUUCACGAGGAAAAAUUGCAGGUGCGUAUCACUCAUAUGUGGGACACAUUUUCCUUCAACACAUACUACGAAGCAAUGACAUGUUUGAUAAUGAUAGAUGUCAAGGUACGUCAAGUUGAAAUUACGGAAUUUGUAAUCAUGCUCUACUUGGUUUAUUCAUGUCAUUAACAACAAAUCACAAUAUGCAGAAUGAUCAGUACUGGGCAAUCACUGAGAUUACUCAACGACAAAAGUUACUGAAAUUCAUAUGUCCAGGUUUGAUGUACCACAUCUCUAAUUUUAGGGUAGUGGCCGCCCCAACUGCUUGGAAACCAAUAGAUACGGACAAGUUACUUAUCUUUGGGAAGCAGGCUGAAAUACAUGAUUGUUUGGAUGACAACUCCAUACCACGUUAUAAGUUCAACCUAUGCACGUGGUCCACAGUUAUGUCCAGAGUCGGAAACAAAGAUAACCUAACUGGUCUUGUCUAUCUUUUUUUUACAAGUGUCAACUGCUGCAUCAACUGCCCAUCCCCAAUGAACCAUCACUAAUUUGCGGAUUUAUUUAUUUCACAGACAUCGCUGGAGUCAUAAUGUUUGUGGGGGGCAUGGAGACUGAGAGAAACAUCAAUAGAGUAAACAUAACUCUGCUGGACGGCAGGUAAGCAGCACACCAAGAAAAUAUGAAUUUACAUAUCCAUAUGAUGUUAGAUGAAAUUCAAUCAUUGUUAUACUAAUUAGAAAACGUCCAGGCUCGCAAAACUACGAGUAACCCUAUGGGGAGUAAAGGCAACACAAUUUGAGAUGAACUUCAACCUUUACAGACGCAAGAAUGUUGUUCUGAUAAUUACCGGUUUACUGGUCACAAAAACUCAAGGUACAUUUCUCCGUUUUUCCAACCUUUUACAGGUGACUGGGGAAAGAGAUAAUUAAAUAUAAGACUGCCCUGUCCAACUACUGUCCAAUAUAGCAAGCAAAGUGUGAAGUUGUCGUCGCAGGUCAUCUUGUAAUUACUGCAAGAUAAUGACAAGCCAAAAAUCUAAAAAAGGCUCCACCAUCUUCAAUUUAAAUUAUUCUUCAUCUAUUAGGUUGUAAGAUAGCAUUCUGUGAAUUAAACCUUCAAAAAUACAUGACCAUACAGUUUUUUGGAUUAUAUAUGAUAUUAAUCCCCUACUACAUAUCAAAAAUUGUGGCACCUGGAGUUUCUAUAAUCGACAUGAACCUGUCAAUAAGAUCGGUCGUCCUAUGCCCUAUUUGGUGUACAUUCUUAUGGUCGACCAUUAUAAGCAAAUUGAGGAGUGAAGGGCUUAUCGUGUUGGCGGUUGCAUCAUCUGGUAUUGCCUCCCUUCUAAUAGAGGGUGGAAGAACGGCCCACUCCCGCUUCAGGAUACCAAUAGAUAUAAAUGAAACGAGUACUUGUGAGAUAAAGAAAAAAACUCAUCUUGCAGAAUUAAUAUGCAAAGCUAGCCUGGUCAUUUGGGACGAGGCUCCCAUGACCCAUCGUUUUAUUUUUGAAGCCGUCGACCGAAGUUUUCGUGAUGUGCGACACACAAUUAAUCCGAAUGCGGCCUCAAUGCCAUUUGGGGGUGUAACCAUGUUGCUUGGUGGAGAUUUCAGGCAGACUCUGCCUGUCGUUCCCAAGGAAGGAAGAGAAGGUAUAGUCGGAGCCAGUAUAAGUAAAUCUUCUUUAUGGAGAAAUUGCAAGGUCUUCAUUAUGGAAGAGAAUAUGCGGUUGGAAAAAAAUAUUCCACCGGUUACAGUUGAUGGAACAUUUUUGAGUUUCAAAGAUUGGAUUCUAAGAAUAGGAAAUGGAGUGCAACAAACAUAUACACUUGGAGAUGGAGAUGACUCGACCUGGAUCAACAUCCCAAAGGAGGUAUGCUUCCUGGUUUCAGUCAAGGAUUAUAUGCCUCAUACAGCAUCGCUAGUGAUGCAAGCUCCAGUUUCAUCCACACUAAAUUAACUCCAUCUUAACUUUCUUGUUUUCCCGCAUCUCAUAACAUUUAUAACUUCUCUUGCAUUAAAAUGUUGUCUGCAAUACAUAAUUGAUUUCGACACAUUGUCCUACCAAUUAUACUUAAGUUUCAUACUUGAAACACCAUUGAAAAAGUUAUAAUGGGCAAAGAUAUUUUGUCAGACAUUGUUUACCAUAAUUAUUAUUAGUUAUAUAUAUAAAAUAUGCUGCAAGGUGCAGUCCAGAGGAGUGAAAUUGUAUAAGAUCCUAUGUGAUAGAACCAAUAUAAUUAUAAGGGCUCAUUAGUUAACAAUUACUUGUUACUUAAUAUUUAACUGACAUGCUUAACCUACCUUACAUUAUACUACUUCACAUUGUGUGACUACUUUAUGUGUUAGCUCUGCCAGCCGCCCUACAAGAUAACUUAUACCAUAAUCCCCUUCCAGGUGCAAGUGACUUACUCCGGUGACCCUGUAAAGGCUAUUGUUGACCACAUAUACAAAGACCUUGAUGAGGGACAUGGUUCCCUCGAGUACCUUCGUGACAGAGCAAUAUUGACACCACUGAAUGAGUAUGUCGACAAGAUUAAUCGUGAGGUGUUGGAAAGGCUACCCAAUAGUUCUAGAGUGUACAAAAGCUCAGACACUAUCUGCAAAGGGUCAUCGACUAAUGAGGGUGAUGAGAUUCUAUACCCUGCAGAAUACCUCAAUUCUCUUAAGUUCAGCGGAGUUCCAAACCACGAACUUGAGUUAAAAGUUGGAGUUCCCAUAAUGCUUCUACGGAACCUUAAUCCGAAGAAAGGAUUGUGUAAUGGCACCCGACUUAUUGUGACUCAGUGCUGCCCAUUUGUCAUAGAGGGGAUGAUCAUAACUGGGAACAAAACUGGGGAGAAAACAUAUAUACCGAGA
rnacentral:lncRNA from 1 species